AAAAUAAAGCCAAAGACCUUCUAGGCCGUCAUACGCACUCCGAAGGUACGAAGUCCCUAUACGAAAGUAGCUUUAAAUAUAUAAAAUCCUGACCCCACGAAAGCUAAGAAACAAACUGGGAUUAGAUACCCCACUAUGCUUAGCCUUAAACCCAGAUGUACCCUUACAUUUACAUCCGCCAGGGAACUACAAGCACAGCUUAAAACCCAAAGGACUUGGCGGUGCCUCAGACCCACCUAGAGGAGCCUGUUCUAGAACCGAUACCCCCCGUUAAACCUUACCACUUCUUGUUUCCCCCGCCUAUAUACCGCCGUCGUCAGCUUACCCUGUGAAGGCCCAAUAGUAAGCAAAAUGGGUCCAUCCAAAAACGUCAGGUCGAGGUGUAGCGUACGAAGUGGAAAGAAAUGGGCUACAUUUUCUAUAAUAAUAGAAUAUUACGGACGGCACCCUGAAACCAGUGCCCAAAGGUGGAUUUAGUAGUAAAAAAUAAAUAGAGAGUAUUUUUGAAUUAGGCUCUGAGACGCGCACACACCGCCCGUCACUCUCCCCCACCCCACCUAAACCUAACAUUCCUAAUAACACAAACCUAAAUUCGGGGAGGCAAGUCGUAACAUGGUAAGUGUACCGGAAGGUGCACUUGGAAUAAU
rnacentral:rRNA from 1 species